rnacentral:rRNA from 1 species
CCUACGGGAGGCAGCAGUGGGGAAUAUUGCGCAAUGGGGGAAACCCUGACGCAGCAACGCCGCGUGAGUGAGGAAGGACUUCGGUCUGUAAAGCUCUGUUAAUGAGGAAAAAUGGUAGUUGGUCUAAUAGGCCGAUUAUUUGAUGGUACUCAUAGAGGAAGCACCGGCUAACUUCGUGCCAGCAGCCGCGGUAAUACGAAGGGUGCAAGCGUUGUUCGGAUUUAUUGGGCGUAAAGCGCGCGUAGGCGGACCUGCAAGUAAGAUGUGAAAUCUCGAGGCUCAACCUCGAAACUGCGUCUUAAACUACAGGUCUAGAAUCUCGGAGGGGGAAGGGGAAUUUCGCAUGUAGGGGUAAAAUCCGUAGAUAUGCGAAGGAACACCAGAGGCGAAGGCGCCUUCCUGGACGAGUAUUGACGCUGAGGCGCGAAAGCGUGGGGAUCAAACAGGAUUAGAUACCCUGGUAGUCCACGCUGUAAACGAUGAACACUAGGUAUUGGAGGAUUUGACCCCUUCAGUGCCGUAGCUAACGCGUUAAGUGUUCCGCCUGGGAAGUACGGUCGCAAGCUAAAACUUAAAGGAAUUGACGG